UCAUGCUAUAUUUAAAUGUUCAUUCAUUAAAUUGUUUAAAAGGUAAAUGACCUGCUUGUCGUGUUGAAGGUUCAUUAAUUCAGACCCCAGCAGGAACUGAAGAGUCACAUCAGUCCAUCUACUGAAAGAGGGAUUUCUGCCUGUUUUGACUGUUUUCGUGGAUUUUAUCAGCCCAGCUGAAGACGGUCGAGCCAUCGGCAGAGCAGCAGCACCAACCGUCCUCCUUCCUCCAGGACUUCUGGGCCAGAACACAGUGACCCCGUCAGCCACUGAUGCCCAGGUUCAGUGAAAUGAUGAGUCUGGUCGUUACUGAAGCUGAGGACAGGGAUGUGAUUUCUGUUGACGUGUCUCUGACUCUGCUGAUGCUGUAAUGACACGAAGCUGGUUGAAGGUGUUUGUAUCAGAAUGUUGUUGUUUAUUUCUCUUCAUGUGAACCUUGUUUGUCUCGUGCUGUCCUGGAUGUUCAGGAUUUAAAGUCCAGCUGUUCUGGAUGUGUUGCUGACAGUCCAUCAGAGAGAAGCAGACCUCACAGCUGCUGGAAGCUGCUUCACUCCGCCUCAGCUUCCCCACUGGUCUGGCGCUGGACGCCCCCUGCUGGCACAAACCGGGAAUGGCAGAGACAGUCUGAACACGAGACUCAACAAACCAUCAGAACAGGAACUUAUUCCUGUUUAGUUUGGAGGCUAAAGACGCUGACAGAAGCUCAUUAGCAGCAGGAACAAACCCGCGGAUCACAGCUUCACGCCGCCUGCCUGCCGGCAGCAGGAAGAAUGAAGACUUUUCUGGAAUAAACUGAGGUUUGAAGCCGACUUCAGCUCAGACGGCAUCAGUUCUUCUCCAGCACUGAUCAGCAUGUUUGGAAGAAUCUGAUGCGACCUGAGCAGUGAACUUCACUGAGUUAGUCUAACUAGUCCUGGUAAAGUUUACUGAGGACAAGAUGUUAGCAGGAACCGACAUGUUAGCCGUGCUAACCUGGACCCACCAGGUGCUAAAAUCCAACAUGUCCGCCAGCCGGCUGACGGUGGCGUCAGGAGCUGGAGCUGGAGGCGACCCGGUCACCGACGCCGUUCAGCACCACGGAGAGCGCCGGCUGUUCCAGCUCCGGGCCUGGACCAGGACUCUGCAGCCUUCAGGACCACCGGAGCCGAUCUGCUGUUCUGGAGCCAUGAAGAACUUAAACCUUGAAAACGAGGCGACUGCAGCUCAGGAAGAUUCACGAACAGAAACUGGAUCUGAUGAAGCCUUCAUGAAGUUUAACUGCAGCUCAGAACAGAGAACAUUUUAUUAUUGGACCUGUUUUUGUUCCUGAUUUUAAGUUUUGCUCUUUUCAAGCUUUUUUUGUUGCCAGUUUUGAAAUUUUAGUCAUUUUACCCCUUCUUAUACAGUCUAUGCUUUUUUCUGCCAUGUUUCAUUUUAUUGUUAGAAAUUGUCAACAUUUCAGUUUUUUAAGCCAUUCUAUCAUUUUCCCCCCAUUUCUAGUUUUUCUAUUUUCCCCAAUUUUACUUGAACCUUUUUAAAUCCCCUUUGAACCCAGAGCGACGAAUCAGAUAAUAUAAAAAUAAGUUAAAUGUAUAUUCAGGUUUCUUGUGCUGAAGGCUUCAUGGAGCCGCUGCAGAGGGACUGAAGGGCCACAUGUGGCUCCAGAGCCGCAGGUUGAACCCCCCGGGUGUAGAGCGAUGGUUCGAAUCCCUCCCUGCUCCUUUCACUCCGUCACUCACCUUGACUCAAGUCGGUUAAAAUGCUGCAACUAGUUAACCAUCUGUUGACUGGUGACUGAUGGUGACGUCAGUGGGUGGUACUGUAGGUGAUGAGUUUUACCCACAAUGCACCAGGAGACACCGGCCAUGAUCCACUUUUAAACUUGGGCGUCGUGAAGCUAAAUGUGAGGGAAAUGAAGCGGCGGGUCGGGAGGUCCGACGGUCCUGAGAAGGAACCGGGACGAGACGGACAGAGGACAGAAGAGACAGGAGACAGGAGACGAGACAGCAGAGACGCUUUAUUAGAGCCGAGCUUCAGUCCAGAUGUUUCAGUCCACAGAUGUUGGGGUCCUUCAUGAACUGUGGGUGUUUGUGAGUCACCGACAUGAAACCUGGAGACGGGAGAGACGAGCAGCCGUUAGAGAC